GACGAACGCUGGCGGCGUGCUUAACACAUGCAAGUCGAACGGAAAGGCCCUGCUUGCCGGGUGCUCGAGUGGCGAACGGGUGAGUAACAUGUGGGUGAUCUGCCCCUUACUUUGGGAUAAGCCUGGGAAACUGGGUCUAAUACUGGAUAGGACCAUGCUGUAGGUGGUGUGGUGGAAAGAUUUUUUCGGUAAGGGAUGAGCUCGCGGCCUAUCAGCUUGUUGGUGGGGUAAUGGCCUACCAAGGCGUCGACGGGUAGCCGGCCUGAGAGGGUGGACGGCCACAUUGGGACUAAGAUACGGCCCAGACUCCUACGGGAGGCAGCAGUGGGGAAUAGUGCACAAUGGGCGCAAGCCUGAUGCAGCGACGCCGCGUGGGGGAUGACGGCCUUCGGGUUGUAAACUCCUUUCAGCCAUGACGAAGCCUCUUUUGGGGUGACGGUAGUGGUAGAAGAAGCACCGGCUAACUACGUG
rnacentral:rRNA from 1 species